UGUGUCCACCCACUUCCAGCCAGCACGGUUCAGCGCGGUUGUAGUCGAAAUGCAACUCCAACAGCCCCGCUCAGCUCGACUCAGCUCGACUCGGCACGGCACGGCUCAGCCGCGUUUGUAGUGGAAAAGCGGCAAUAGACACAGACAACCAUUCACACUCACAUUCACACCUACGGUCAAUUUAGAGUCACCAGUUAACCUAACCUGCAUGUCUUUGGACUGUGGGGAAAACCGGAGCACCCGGAGGAAACCCACGCGGACAUGGGGAGAACAUGCAAACUCCACACAGAAAGGCCCUCGCCGGCUACGGGGCUCGAACCCGGACCUUCUUGCUGUGAGGCGACAGCGCUAACCACUACACCACAAUGCCACCCCUUCUUGAACAUUUUACAGGCAAAUGAAACUGGUGGCAGUCAACAGACAGAACUGGAAGGAGCAAAAAGGUCUUUUGCAUCACUAACUAAUGAUGGGGUGUCCAUGAGGACAUUUAUAUCAGACCGGCAUCGAGGGCUUGAAAAGUGGAUAAGUGAAGAAUGCAAGGAGACCAAUCAUUUUUAUGAUAUCUGGCAUGUGGCGAGAUCAGUCACCAAGAAGCUCCUCCAAGCAAGCAAAGAAAAGAGGUGCCAAAACAUUAGUGAGUGGAUGAAGGGUAUUCGCCGGCACAUGUACUGGUGUGCAACAUCUACAGCACCUGGGUUUGGUGCUCUUAUCAAAGUAAAGUGGCUCACUUUCAUGUAACAUCAUGCAAACAAACACAACAAUCACCCUGAUCCCCUGUUUAAGAACUGUAAUCAUGGAGCUUCAACCAAGGAAAUGGAUUAAAACUGCUGUUUUUAUUCUAUUUUAACCCUCGUUUCUUCUUGUAAAACCAGUUUCCCAUAAUUUACAGGGUUCCUUAGCUGUUUUUAGUCCACACCAGGAACCCCUUUUUAUUCACGAGCACAUUUGUGGAGCUUUUUUUUCCCCUCAGGAACACCUGCUUAUGGCAAACUGAAGAGCAAAUUAACAAAAACAACUCUCCUCAGUGAUAUUGAGAAACUUUCACCUGAUGCACAGACAAGCUGCAUAGAGGGCUUUCAUGCCACCCUUAAUCACUGGCACCCAAAGAUGAUUGGCUUUUCAUGGAUUGUAAGUUAUCUAAACAGGGGACAAAGUACUUCAGAGUGAUGUUUCCCAAAUCUAAACCUGGAGAGGAAGUGGUUCGAGAAGUGCCUGUACCACCUAUUUAUAGUAAGAAUCAACUUGUUAUCCAAUAAACAGAUGUGUGUUCAGUAGUAAA